CCUACGGGAGGCAGCAGUGAGGAAUAUUGGUCAAUGGACGAGAGUCUGAACCAGCCAAGUAGCGUGAAGGAUGACUGCCCUAUGGGUUGUAAACUUCUUGUAUAUGGGAAUAAAACGUUCCACGUGUGGGAUUUUGUAUGUACCAUAUGAAUAAGGAUCGGCUAACUCCGUGCCAGCAGCCGCGGUAAUACGGAGGAUCCGAGCGUUAUCCGGAUUUAUUGGUUUUAAAGGGAGCGUAGGUGGAUUGUUAAGUAAGUUGUGAAAGUUUGCGGGUCAACCGUAAAAUUGCAGUUGAAACUGGCAGUCGUGAGUACAGUAGAGGUGAGCGGAAUUCGUGGUGUAGCGGUGAAAUGCUUAGAUAUCACGAAGAACUCCGAUUGCGAAGGCAGUUCACUGGACUGCAACUGACACUGAGGCUCGAAAGUGUGGGCAUCAAACAGGAUUAGAUACCCCAGUAGUC
rnacentral:rRNA from 1 species